CAGCCGCCGCGGGAACACGAAGGGUGCAAGCGUUAAUCGGAAUUACUGGGCGUAAAGGGCGCGUAGGCGGCACGAUUAGUCAGGCGUGAAAUUCCUGGGCUCAACCUGGGGACUGCGCUUGAUACGGUCGAGCUAGAGGAUGGAAGAAGGUCGUGGAAUUCCCAGUGUAGAGGUGAAAUUCGUAGAUAUUGGGAAGAACACCGGUGGCGAAGGCGGCGACCUGGUCCAUUACUGACGCUGAGGCGCGACAGCGUGGGGAGCAAACAGGAUUAGAUACCCCUGUAGUCCCUGUCUCUUAUAA
rnacentral:rRNA from 1 species